rnacentral:tRNA from 1 species
GCCAUUAGGGCUGCUAUAGCAGGCUACUUUGAUAUAGUAGACUAAGAACGAUAUGUUCCGUUGGUAGUUU